rnacentral:rRNA from 1 species
ACCGCCAGCUAAGGUCCCAAAGUCAUGGUUAAGUGGGAAACGAUGUGGGAAGGCCCAGACAGCCAGGAUGUUGGCUUAGAAGCAGCCAUCAUUUAAAGAAAGCGUAAUAGCUCACUGGUCGAGUCGGCCUGCGCGGAAGAUGUAACGGGGCUAAACCAUGCACCGAAGCUGCGGCAGCGACACUUUAGUGUUGUUGGGUAGGGGAGCGUUCUGUAAGCCGUUGAAGGUGUCCUGUGAGGGGUGCUGGAGGUAUCAGAAGUGCGAAUGCUGACAUAAGUAACGAUAAAGCGGGUGAAAAGCCCGCUCGCCGGAAGACCAAGGGUUCCUGUCCAACGUUAAUCGGGGCAGGGUGAGUCGACCCCUAAGGCGAGGCCGAAAGGCGUAGUCGAUGGGAAACGGGUUAAUAUUCCCGUACUUGGUGUUACUGCGAAGGGGGGACGGAGAAGGCUAUGUUGGCCGGGCGACGGUUGUCCCGGUUUAAGCGUGUAGGUGUGUGUUCCAGGUAAAUCCGGUUCACUUUAACAC